UACGUAGGGGGCAAGCGUUGUCCGGAAUUAUUGGGCGUAAAGCGCGCGCAGGCGGUUCAUUUAGUCGGGUGGUUAAGCUCGGGGCUCAACCCCGAGUCACACCGGAAACUGGUGGACUUGAGUGCAGAAGAGGAGAGUGGAAUUCCACGUGUAGCGGUGAAAUGCGUAGAGAUGUGGAGGAACACCAGUGGCGAAGGCGACUCUCUGGUCUGUAACUGACGCUGAGGCGCGAAAGCGUGGGGAGCAAACAGG
rnacentral:rRNA from 1 species